AAGCUGAGUUAGAUGGAGGUGCCAAGGUGCCCAGCAGUGCUGAGCUCCACACCAUCACAGCUGACCACUGUGUUGUGGGUUGGGGUGGAUUCCUCUAUGCUGGGGUGCAGUUACUUGUAGGGACAGAGUACAAUAAGACUCUCCCUGCCUGCAGGAAAGCUGAAAUUGGUGUGGCCUCUGUUAUUUUCUCAGUCGGCUUUGAAACAGAAGAUUUGUCUUGAGGAGGCUCAAGCUACAUGAAAGCAGUCACACCAGCUGCAGAGACAGCUCCCUUCUGACUUGACAUGAUCUGAGAAGUAGUAUCCUGCCAUCAAGGAGCUGCAGCUUCAUCCUCAGGAACAUUGGCAUUAGCCUACCCCAGCUAGAGCUGUGACUCAAGGCCAGAGCCAAAUGAGAGGGACCUGGCAGAGGAGCAUGGCAGCUCAUCCUUUUUCAGAGUGAUUUGAGCUGCUGUCCCACAUGGUUUUCCUGAAGUGCAUGUUCUUCACACCAGGAAUUUGUGGUUCUCCUACAGUGCACACCCCACAGAUACAAACACACGAGGGUCUUUUGAAGAACAGCAGUUGCUGGUGGAAAAGUUCAAGUCUCACUUGACAACAGCCUUGCAUUUACAGUACAAAAGGAGCAGACCCCAUCUCUCCUCAGAAAGGGACAAACAGCUUGGAACUCGGCAAGUACUCUCUUCAGCUAGAACAAAUACAAUUUUGCAGUCCAUUGAUUUCCAUUUACAAUGCCAAGUUUUAUUUGAUUUAUUGUUUUAAUAUCUAUA